GUACCUUGAUUUAAUAUUUAAUUUCAAGGAAGUACCUUGUGUGCGUAUUGCAUCUUGGUCAAAAUAAUUAAUAAAAAAUAUAAUAAAUUAAGUGAAGCUGUAAUAAAUAAGUCAUAACCAAUAAAAUACAAGAAUAACUAAAAGUUGAUUUAAGCCUUACAUUAAUCAAUAAAUGCGACCGUGCUAGAACCAUGAGACUCGAGGAGUGCCCUACACCUUUCCCUCGGUCAACAGAAUUCCUUACCCAAUCUUCUAUUUUCGUAGAUCAUAAAUUAAGAGCCAAACCUUCCUUUUGAAAAGGGAUUCAAAUAAAAGGUGACUUGGAACAUCAAAACUCAAUUGCAAGUGGCGACUCUAAAUAAUAAAUAAUCCCUUUUCAAAACGUCACUUUGAUUAGAAAAACUCUUCUAACUCAACUGUGGGAAAAAAGAGGUGUGACAAUAUUAAAUCAAUAACAUUCUUCAGAUAAAAGCUUGCCGAAUAAAACGAUGAUUUAACAAUAUACCCAAAACACCCUAUAUCCGAUGACUAAACAAAAAUUUGACUCCAAAUUUUUAAACAUGCCAUUUUGAUAAGAGUUAAUCCUACCAUUAUCUAUUUCUAAUCAGUAAGACUAAUUACUGGAAGACGAAAACUAUCACAAAACUAUGACAUCUUAGUAAAAAUUGAUUUCACCUUAUCUUUUCCUAAAUCAAAUAGAUUAACUAUUUUAAAAUAAACUUCAUAUCAGAAAAGAUUUUCCAGAAAAGAAUGUCUUGGCCCCAUGGCUUACAUUAACCAUCAUAUGGAUCAACCUGCUAUUGUCAAUUUGAAAACAUAAACUUAAACUAAUAGCUCUGCCUCAUUAGGAUUUUAUAGCAAGAGGCAUUUGAGGCUCACAUAGAAAUGUCACUCAUGAAUUCUAAUAGAACAUAAAAGUAUAAUCAAGAUUCAUACAAGAAAGCCAAGAAAUAUUGGUAUAGAAGAUAUCAAGCAAACCAUUAAACUCAUUUCAAACCAAAAACUCUUAUCAUACUAAUAAUCAGACCAAACAGUAAGAUAGGGAGAAAGGAAAUGGACCUGAAAUUGCUUUCGACUGAAUUUCAACAGCUACUAUGAAGGAAUUGAAAAAUGAUGGAUCUGAACAAAAGAGUUUCGAAAAGAACAGCAACCUACGACUGGAAUCUGAACAACAACAGAACUACGAUCCGAACCAGAACGGGCUUCGACUCGGCACCACAAACCACACCUCGAACGCCAAUCGACAAGUAAUCUCGGACAAAAACUCCAAACGGCACCGGAAUUUUGAAUCUACGCACGAACUCACCCUCAAAAUUCAAUCAAAUUUUCUGUCGUAAUGUUUCUGACUUUGAAACAGAAUUCAAAUAGAAGAAACUUAUUUUCUUUUGUUCUUAUAUAUAUGGAAAAAAAACAGAAUAAGAGAACACAAAAGAAAACUCUUAUUUUCAAAUGGAUUGAAAUUAGAAGAACAACCAAAAAAUCCGAAAACCCUAGCUCUUUCUCACAGUUUCUCCUCCUCUUUCUUCUGCCCGAAAAUCCCAAAUAUAUAGGAAGCCGAGAAACUUCUUCUUCUUUCCUCUCCAAGAAAAACCAAAAAUCUCCACAAAAUUCUCAGAAAAUAAAAACCAAAAUCUGAAAAUCUAUUCUAUUAGUGAGAUAAGAGAAAUUGAAGGAGUAGAUCGAGUGCAACUCAAUCCUACACACCCCAUUUUUCCUAUUUUCGCCUAAAAGAGUAAAUUCGAAAAACGAAAAAUAGAAACAAAAUGCGUAGAAUCAAAUUCUAAUGAUAAGGGAGGGACUAGGAGGGGACCAAUACUUACGUGAAAGUAAUUUCAGGUGGAUUUGGACAUGGGUCGCGGCAGAGUGGUGGAGAGAUGAGGAGAUGGGGGCGGAUGGUCUUGGGAGCUAGGGUUUGGGCAUUUAGGGUUAAGGCUAGGGUUAUAUUUGGGUGUGGGAAAACAAGGGAGGCUGUUAGAUUUGAAGAGAGGGACGACCGCUGUUAGAUGUGAAAAUGAGGUUAGUGGGUCGUUUGGGGCGGACUUGGGCUGCUAAGUUGGGUCAGGGUAGU
rnacentral:lncRNA from 1 species